GUGGCGAACGGGUGAGUAAUACAUCGGAACGUGCCUAGUAGUGGGGGAUAACUACUCGAAAGAGUGGCUAAUACCGCAUGACAUCUAUGGAUAAAAGCAGGGGACCUUCGGGCCUUGUGCUACUAGAGCGGCCGAUGGCAGAUUAGGUAGUUGGUGGGAUAAAAGCUUACCAAGCCGACGAUCUGUAGCUGGUCUGAGAGGACGAUCAGCCACACUGGGACUGAGACACGGCCCAGACUCCUACGGGAGGCAGCAGUGGGGAAUUUUGGACAAUGGGCGCAAGCCUGAUCCAGCAAUGCCGCGUGCAGGAUGAAUGCCUUCGGGUUGUAAACUGCUUUUGUACGGAACGAAAAGCUCUGGGUUAAUACCCUGGAGUCAUGACGGUACCGUAAGAAUAAGCACCGGCUAACUACGUGCCAGCAGCCGCGGUAAUACGUAGGGUGCGAGCGUUAAUCGGAAUUACUGGGCGUAAAGCGUGCGCAGGCGGUUUUGUAAGACAGUGGUGAAAUCCCCGG
rnacentral:rRNA from 1 species